rnacentral:siRNA from 1 species
UAAACAUGUUUUAGGUGAUGUGAU